AUGUUGAAGACGCUACAGAUUUUACGUUGACAAGCUUGGAGGGGAUUCUCUUGUGAAUUGUGCAAAGACAAGCAUGUAUUCUUAGUUGUUAUCUGGCAUCUCUUGAGUUUUUUCGCAAAUUGGGUGCAAUACCCCAGGCAGCAAGGUCCGGGGUCAAGCGACAUCACCAUGAACCGCGUGUUAACAGAUGACAUGGAAUUGGA
rnacentral:lncRNA from 1 species